AUUGAACGCUGGCGGCAGGCCUAACACAUGCAAGUCGAACGAGUGGCGGACGGGUGAGUAAUGUCUGGGAAACUGCCUGAUGGAGGGGGUUAACUACUGGACACGGUAGCUAAUACCGCAUACCAUCGGAUGUGCCCAUAUGUGAUUAGCUAGUAGGUGGGGUAAAGGCUCACCUAGGCGACGAUCCCUAGCUGUUCUGAGAGGAUGACCAGCCACACGGGAACGGCGACACGGUCCAGACGCCUACGAGAGGCAGCAGUGGGGAAUAUUGCACAAUGGGCGCAAGCCUGAUGCAGCCAUGCCGCGUGUAUGAAGAAGGCCGUCGGGUUGUAAAGUACUUUCAGCGGGGAGGCGUUACCCGCAGAAGAAGCACCGGCUAACUCCGUGCCAGCAGCCGCGGUAAUAC
rnacentral:rRNA from 1 species